AAACCAUGGUGAGGACACUGUAUUAAAAAAUUAUUGAACUGUUCCCAAGCUUUUGAAAAUGACUCAUCAACCUGUUGACUGAAUUGCAUGAUUUUAUCCCGUGUGCAU
rnacentral:snoRNA from 1 species